UUAUGGCCACGAGCUGUGGGUAGUGACCGAAAGAACGAGAUCGCGGAUACGAGCGGCGGAAAUGAGCUUCCUCCGAAGGGUGGCUGGCCUCUCCCUUAGAGAUAGGGUGAGAAGUUCAGCCAUCCGGUAUUAGGAAUUGGUGGGGUUUCUCUGGUGUGGUGUCACGGGGUCUGCUUCUGUUUUCAGCACAGGUAGGCGGGGUGGUGUGUCACGGGAUGCUGACACACCGGCGGUACAUCAGACGUCAUUUGAUGGAGCGUUAUUUAGGAGCAGCGCGACAGACGUCUGGUGUCGGAGUAUUGCCACCUCCCCGAGUGCUGGAUCUAUCACCCGCUUACCUGUCAGCUGUUUGUGAAGCCGCAUUUCCGGGAUCUCUACGGAGAUAGAUCUCAGCGUUUCUUCUACUUCCCGGGAAUCCUCGCCCGAGUCUGUACAGCCAGUGUGACAAAUCCACCCUGCGUGUGCGGGUUACCCCUUUCCCUCAGAAUGCAUGUCAGCUCCCUUCUCUGGUUUCCCUCCGUUUAUUUGUCGGCGUACAUAUUCCAUCCCGUGUAAAUAAGUUGGACACUGUAAAUAAAGAGCACUUCCUGCA